UACAGAGGGUGCGAACGUUGCUCGGAAUUACUGGGCGUAAAGCGCGUGUAGGCGGGUCGGUAAGUCGGACGUGAAAUCCCCAGGCUCAACCUGGGAACUGCGCUCGAAACUGCAGGCCUUGAGUGUCGGAGAGGAUGGCGGAAUUCCUGGUGUAGAGGUGAAAUUCGUAGAUAUCAGGAGGAACACCGGUGGCGAAGGCGGCCAUCUGGACGACAACUGACGCUGAGACGCGAAAGCGUGGGGAGCAAACAGG
rnacentral:rRNA from 1 species